UUCACUCCCACUUUUCAUAAAAAAGAACACACUGGAGGAACGCUCCCUUUGGACGAUCGAUGCUCCUCCGGCGACAGUGAGCAAACUCCCCUCAUCUUCCUCCCUGACUUGAUAUCUCUCUACACACCCACACGCUGAACCAUUUCUCUCCUUGCUGCAUCGCCAUCGUCGUCGGCUGCCCGACAACUUCCGUCGCCGGUUUCCGGCAAUUCUAGAAUAGACUUGUCUUCUCUUGAGUAAUCCUGACACGAGCAAAGAGAACGUGAUGGAGUAAAGUGAUCCGGGAAAGCAUUUUGGAUUUCAAGACUAGGUGAUUAAGACUAGCUCUUUUGUUGUGCUGCUCAAGUCGAGUUCCUAGCCAAGCUUUUGAUUUUGGGUAAUCCUUUUUAGAGUUGCUAAAUAUGGCAUAUUUUGGAAGUGUAACAUAUCUCAGACAUUAUACAACUUCCUAAUCUUGUGUUAAACAUGUAUAUUUUGCGAAUAGUUCGGGUUGUGUAUAUAUGUAUAUAUGCAAUGACUUUUGGAAACAGGUUGAUGGUUUAAA